rnacentral:rRNA from 1 species
UGAGUGGCGAACGGGUGAGUAACACGUGAGUAACCUGCCCUCUUCUUUGGAUAACGCCCGGAAACGGGUGCUAAUACUGGAUAUUCACUGGCCUUCGCAUGGGGGUUGGUGGAAAGGUUUGUUCUGGUGGGGGAUGGGCUCGCGGCCUAUCAGCUUGUUGGUGGGGUGAUGGCCUACCAAGGCUUUGACGGGUAGCCGGCCUGAGAGGGUGACCGGUCACAUUGGGACUGAGAUACGGCCCAG